UCGUCCCUGCCUCCUUCUAGCUCGCAUGCGCGCCCUGCUCGUGAGCAAGCACACGCCAAUCCCCAGAUGCAGGCGCUCUUCCUCACCGCCGGUGGUUUCCCUCCGCGAACUCGGGCGCUGCGCCGCCACCAAGUCCGGCGCCAUGCUCUGCACAACGUUGUACCUCCGUCCUGGCGCCGUUCGUCUUCGACCGCCGCCGAGCACGCCUCCGUCUCUGUCCGCCUCGCGCAGGUGUUCUGCGAGGUCGACGCUGCCUAGUUCUGCUUCGCGCGUCUCCGCCUCCGGUCGCCUCAUCCCGCCUGCUUCCUCGUCCUCCAAGGUUGUUCGUCGUCCUCGUCGGCUCGUCCUCCAAGACACCGGCCGCCUCUUCUGUUCGUUUCCGUCGCUGCACGCGGCCGCGCGCCGUCAAGUUCGUCUCCGACAUCCGCGACCCCGUCGCCAAGAUCUCCGUCUCUGGCCGCCGCCCUUGCCAUGUUCUGCAAGCUGUCCCGGCGCCUCUUCGACCUGCGCUGCUGGUCGCGUGCUCCGUGAGUUCUCUGCCCUCAUCUCGUCUUCGUGGUCGUUCCUAGCCUGACGCCGUCGCUGCGUUUUCCUCCCCGUGUGUGCAGCAUGAACGCCACGGCAGCGAACUUGAGCCCGUGCGCUGCUCGUUUUCCUGGACGUCUGCGCUCCUCGCUGACAGGAAACCGGCGCUGCCUUCCUCGACCGCCAAGAGUUUCUCUGCAGCAGCCUCACCCCGCGAGCACAGUCCUCCAAAGCUCCAAGCUUUAGGCUAGCCCUUCCUCUGGUGCAAAACGUCCUAGGAGCCGCAGUCCAGUCAGCCGCCCCAUCAGCACUUCCUGGGUUCCGACUGUCUUUCUCUGCGGCUUGUUUUCCUCUCGCAUUUGCUUCUUCCCGGAUAGGAUCACGAAGUGGUGUGGUGAGAUAUGACAAGUUCUCCGGAUGUUCCUCGGCAAGCUUUAACAGGCAAGCAUUUCCCCUAUACUCCUGCCCCUGCAGAAGUCGCUCACCUAUUUUAUUUUGCCUUCUCCCUCAUGCUAUCCUUAAGUUGCGUUCUUGUCACGUGUUCCUUCCACUUGUUACCUCAAGCAGCCUAUAUUGCCACCACCAACCACCAACCUCCUACAGCUGUUGUUUGGUUAUCGGGUCCGCCUU